UGUGAAUAAUUUCCAUUCUUAUUUACUCCUAUCUGGCAGUAAAACGAAUAUCUUUGGGCUGUGGACACAACAAGACAUUUGAAGGCAACAC